AUGCGCCCCAAGUCUCUGCCCCUCUCGGGGGCCACAUGUUCUUCCUCCGCCCCCCAGUCCGCGGAGGCCGCCCCAGCCUGCAGCUCCCCGGAGCCAAGCCUGACUCCACCGCGCACCCCAGACCCACCCGGCAGGGAUCGCCCCAGAAACGGCAGCUGUGGGUUUCAUCAGUGUCCUCGGGAAGAGGGGGGCAGGGAAGCGACUGUCCGGGCCCGGGUUAGGGGGAGCCUCUCCUCGGACGCGGCGCACGCAUCUCUGGAGCUCGAAGCUCAGUUCCUGUUUGCUGACGUCCCUUCUAUGGACAGCCCUGCCCUGCUGAGCCCUCGGCUCCAGCAUUCUGCUAAGGCUUCCGGAUGCUGCUGUGCUCCUGAUCUUCAACCCUUGGGUCCUCCUUUGGAUCCUGGAAAUCCAAUGCACCCCGGCCCGUGCCUGCAAUCUCUGGAAGGUGAUAAUGACUCCUACUGACCGGGCAAGAUUCCCUCAUUGUCCCACACCUCUCUGAUCUUGUGUGGCACACUAUGGAUAUUAUAAUAUUACUCCACUGAGCACAGACAAUAUGCCGGACACCACACCAAGCCUCAAGAUCAGCACAAUACACAGACUCACUCCAUGAGGCAGAAACUACUAAUAUUCUCUUUAAAGAGAUGAAGAUAUAGAAUACAGAAAAAUUGAAUAAAAUACUUAAGGUCUCCAUGCAUUAAAUGUUGAGCUGAAUAUUCAAAUCCAGCUUAUUGAUUAAGGCUAAUUCUGCUUUUGAAUUAUCUUCCCUAUGGAAAUAAACCUCUUUUCCGGAAGGUCUAAGUCUUGACUGAUCUUUAUAUUCCCCGCUGAGCCUGUUGUGUUACCUCUAGCAGUCUGGUCACUCGAUUCAUAUUUAUUUGAAUAAAUGGUUAAGUUAAAUCAUCUAGCUAACAUUUCUUAUCUUUUCCUCUCCUUACUAAACAUGUCUCUGAGUCCCACCUUUCAAUCUUUCUGUGGCUUUCAAUUUUAGGUUUAAUUCUAUUUUAAAUUUUAGUGAGAAGUUAUGGAGUAGAUUAGGAUGUGUCUGAUUGAAUUAAAAUAUUUUGGCCUAUCAGAUCAUUCUCUUUUAUUUUGAGGAUAGCUUCAAUGUGGCUCAGUGGUAAAGAACCUGCCUGCCAAGCAGGAGACUCAGGUUCGAUCCCUGGGUCAGGAAGAUCCCCU
rnacentral:lncRNA from 1 species